rnacentral:lncRNA from 1 species
UUGCUUUUUAGGGCUGCACCUGCAGCAUAUGGAAGUUCCUAGGCUUGGGGUCAAAUUGGAGCCACAUCUGCCAGCCUGCAUCACAGCCUCAGCAAUGCAGGAUCCAAGCCAUAUUUGAGACUUAUACCACAGUUCAUGGCAAUGCUGGAUCCUUAACCCACUAAGCCACGACAGAGAUCUAACAGGCAUCCUCAUGGGUACUGGUCAGUUUUGUUACUGUUGCACCACCACGGGAACCAAGAAUGCUUGUUUGAGCCCUGGAAUUCAGGUACACAGGAAGUUACAUUCACCAUUUAAGACUUUAUGGCAAUAUAAGACAAUACAUUUCUUCUUCCCACUGGAAGGAAACUCCUCUGUUCACCAUUCACACAGAGUGGGAGCUGAACCAUAUGACCGGAAAUAAUUGCUGAUCUCAUUUGUAGGGAAUGGAAAAAAUGUGCUAAUGUGUUUUCCCUCAGACUUUGUAAUACUGGGUAUUUUAAUUCUAGAAGUCCUAGUAAGUACUAUAAUAUACUUCAGGUACAUGAUGAUUAGGGUAGCUUUUCUGAGUUGGCCUACAACCAAUUAGUAACUAAACUUUUGAGAUUUAAUCUGGUCCAUGGGUUAGGAUUUUCCUGCAUUAAAUAAAUCACUGGAGUUCCCACUGUGGCACAAUGGGUUAAGGAUCAGGCAUUGUCUUUGUUGCAGCUAGGGUUGCUGUGAGGUUUGGGGUUUGAUCCCCAGCCUAGUGCAAUGGGUUAAGGAUCCAGUGCUACCUCAGCUGUGGCACAGGUUCAAUCCUCAGGCAGGGUAUGUGGCAGGUGGCAGCCAAUAAGUAAAUAAAUAAGAAAUCAUUGACAAGAUACAUAAAUUCUGAACACCAUAGAAUUCUUCCUAACUUCCUUUCACCAAAAAACCAAGAAGCAGGACCUAUAGUGAUAACUGGGUGUACACUGCCCAAGAUCUCUACUCUACUUCCCAAACAUCAGGUUGUUCAUAUUCAAAGGAGUCAGAAACAUGCAUUAUAAAGUACUUUUUUUACCACUCAUAGAAAAAGUACAUUGAAUAUGAGCAUAACCAGAAUUUAUAUAUUCACUAAAAACCAAAGCAUACUUUUUGCAAGUUUCCUUAACCAGAAUUUUGUAUUUUCAUUAGAAAUGAAAACCUAAGCAUAUUUGCAUAUUCACGGAUAAUAAUUUUUUAAUGACAACUUUUUCUUCCUACGGAAUAAUAAACAAAUGUAAGCAUACCUACUUUAGGAACACAGAAGGAAUUAUCCUUAGCAACUCAAUAUAAGUUUUGUAAAAAUGCCAGAAUUUCCCUAACUAUGUUCUUUGGAACCAUUAACAGGUGUUUUUAUACCCACACACACAAUCCUGUGGUCAAAAAGACUGGGAAACAUUACAUACCAUUCUCAGUCCUAAAAACUCUCAAUGCCUAUUUGCAUAUUUUAGAAUGUGAGAAUCCUUGAAUACCUGCUCAAAUUGGAUUAACACAGCAUUUCCCAAAGUUAACUUUCUGAAAAUGAACAUUUUGCUUCCAACCGCCACCUCCAACCCCCCCAUUUCCCCAGAUCAACUUUUGGAACAGCUUGUGGAACCAGUUCCAUAAAGCAAAGUUUGGGAAACAGUAGUUUAGUGGCUCCUAUCUACACAGAUUUUGCUGUCUGAAUAAUAUGUAAGGAACUUUGAGUGACAAUUGCACCCAUUUGGAUAUAACUUCAGCUGACUCCAUAAUUAGAAAUUUAAAAUGCAAAUUUUUCCAAAGCAAACUGCCUUUACCAUUUAGACAUGUUGCUGAGAUUUAUUUGGAUUUGCGUACAGUCAUAUUACUUUCCAGUAUAUCUGGUAUAGGUAAUAGGCUCCAAAGACCUAUAAAUAUUGAACGCAAAUAAGAUUGGCCAUGUCUAAAUUUUAUACAUAAACAAAUCUGACAAUUUUAAUAUGGCAAAUGUACUCUGUAUUUGGGGGUGAGGUGGGGUGGGUACAUGCCUCCCGGGAAAACCUGGAACAGAAUGGAAGCUUCUUUAUUUAUAUUCAGCAUAAGCUGUAUAUUAAGGAUGCAUGUAAGUAUGGGUGAGGACAGAAAACCAUUGCUAUUGAGCUUCAGACGUGGCAGCAAAGAAUUAAGAGAUCAUCACCAUCUCUCUCUAAAUAUAAUGAAAAUCUAACUUUACAAUACUCCUCUUAAAUGAGCUUUCCUCAUGCUACUUAGCUAUGCAUUAAAUCUUGGCAUACACAAAAAAAUAAAAACAGGGUAGUUCUAAAGGUUCAUUUAUGUUGGCUGGAUUAUGAAGAUUAACUCCUCAGAUGGUGUUCUAAAGAAGUCAUCAAAUGUAAGUAUAAUUGAAAAUAAAAACCUGCAAAAACAUUUAAAUAUUGAUAGGAAAGUGAACAGAUAGGAUAUAGUCAAGAAGACACCACUCUUUAGAUACAUAACAUCAGUGUAUAUCAUAAAGGACUAAAGAAUUUAAUUCUCUAAGGAAUAUAAUAGAGAUUUCAGCUUCAGCAAGGCAAAUUUUCUGGAAAUACUCAUGGCAGAGACAUACAUGAAGAGUUACAGGUUUAAAAUAAUUUGAAUUGUACGUCACUUGCACUGAAGAUUUUUUUUUAAUGUGAUAAAUUGGAUUUAUGAUUAAUUCUCUAAAAUAUUCUAAUCCUGGCUCAUAGAGAAGGCAAGGUCCUCUUGUCCAAAGUAGCCUGUGGCUUCUGCAACCUUGCCAAGUGACACAAAUGUUAGCUGUAUACUAAAAUGCAGAGUUUCUCAAAGUGUGCAUGCUUCUAUUGAUACCUAGGAUGAUUUUAGGUGGUCUAGGGAGUUCUAUUUUAAUAAUGAAAGUGGCUAAAAUGAUAAAAUAAAAAUAGCACUACUUACUGAGGGUUCACUAUGUGCUGCCAAGCAAAAAGUCUAGUACAUUAAUUUGAACAGUCUUCACAAGACCACGCUGUGGAAGCUCCUGUUACUUCCAAUGAAGAGAAAGAAAAUGGAGGCACAGAGAAGCUAAGUAAGUUUCUCAAAAUCACACAGCUGGAAACAGGCAGAGAUAAGAGUUAAUAUCAAGAUAUUUGGCUCAAAUCCAGGCUUGGUCAUUUCACGGAUAUAUUUGUUGGUUAAGUGGGUUUACCUAAUAAAAAAAUAUUUUUUUAGUCUGUGGACAUGAAAUAAAAUCACACAAGUUGUAGGCAGGUGUCUGAUGUUCAGGUAACAAGUGGGGGUGGAAGGGUGGCAGAGCCAGAAAUUAAAGAUGCUUAGAGAUUAUGAAGUAAAUGUUUAAUAACAGGUCAGAAAUUUGGGUUAAAGUCCUGGUACAGACCCCCUGAGGUGAAAAGCCCCAACCUUCAACUUACCUGCUUUCAGUGUUGCCCAGAAAGUUCUCUUGUUCAGAUAGGAAAUCUUCCUACUUUUACAUGAUUUUUAAGACAUCACACAAUCACAUGUCUAAGGGAAAUAUAAAUGGUUCAACUAACUCUGUAAAAGAAAUGGCUCAAUUAUUAUAUAUUACAAUUCAAGGGAAAAAAAAACCAAACUUAAGAAAAAGCUGACAAUCAGAUCAGAAACAUUAUGGGAAGUUUCUUGCUCAUUUUCUCCAGAGGUUAAACCAGAAGAUUUUUUUAAAAGGGUAGAAGUUUAAGGUCUAGCUAGGGAAUAAAGACAUGUUUCGUCUGACACUUCCCAAUUCAAAUUCAACAUCUA